rnacentral:rRNA from 1 species
GUCUACGGCCAUGCCACCCUGAACAAGCCUGAUCCUGUCUGAUCUUGGAAGCUAAGCCUGGUUAUUACUUGGAUGGGAGACCACCGAGGAAGACCAGGUGCUGUAGGCA